AGUGAACGCUGGCGGUAGGCCUAACACAUGCAAGUCGAACGGCAGCACAGGAGAGCUUGCUCUCUGGGUGGCGAGUGGCGGACGGGUGAGGAAUACAUCGGAAUCUACCUUUUCGUGGGGGAUAACGUAGGGAAACUUACGCUAAUACCGCAUACGACCUACGGGUGAAAGUGGGGGACCGCAAGGCCUCACGCGAUUAGAUGAGCCGAUGUCCGAUUAGCUAGUUGGCGGGGUAAUGGCCCACCAAGGCGACGAUCGGUAGCUGGUCUGAGAGGAUGAUCAGGCACACUGGAACUGAGACACGGUCCAGACUCCUACGGGAGGCAGCGGUGGGGAAUAUUGGACAAUGGGCGCAAGCCUGAUCCAGCCAUACCGCGUGGGUGAAGAAGGCCUUCGGGUUGUAAAGCCCUUUUGUUGGGAAAGAAAUCCUGUCGAUUAAUACUCGGUGGGGAUGACGGUACCCAAAGAAUAAGCACCGGCUAACUUCGUGCCAGCAGCCGCCGUAACAC
rnacentral:rRNA from 1 species